rnacentral:rRNA from 1 species
UACGUAGGGGGCGAGCGUUGUCCGGAAUCAUUGGGCGUAAAGCGCGUGUAGGCGGCUCGAUAAGUCCGGUGUGAAACCUUGGGGCUCAACCCCAAGCCUGCACUGGAUACUGUCGAGCUAGAGUCCGGGAGGGGAGAGCGGAAUUCCUAGUGUAGCGGUGAAAUGCGCAGAUAUCAGGAGGAACACCGAUGGCGAAGGCAGGUCUCUGGGCCGAUACUGACGCUGAGGAGCGAAAGCGUGGGGAGCAAACAGG